rnacentral:lncRNA from 1 species
ACCAAACAGCCCCCUACCCCCGCCUGGGUGGGGCCGACCCCGACCCCUGGCCGGUGCCCCACCCCCCCCACUCACAGGCUGAGUCCCAUACAGCCAGUACUGCUCCAACUCAGUGGUUCCUGCUGGGGUCCCUGGGGAGGAGGGGCUGGUCUGAGUGGUGGCCGCUGGGCUCCUGAUCCAGUGCAAGGGAAGGAGGCUCAGAGGAUGGCAGUAGGGGAUCACAAAGGUUUCCGAGGAGCAAGUUGGGGAUGCCCUGUCUGUGGGUGGUCUCUGAGUUCCCACAGAUAGGUGGGGAGGCCCAUGGAGUUGCCCCCCCCCACCACCACCACCAUCCUGAGUCUCUGGGAAUGAAGGGUCCUGGGUGCCCCAGCCUGUGGCCAGGAAAAGGGAAGGUUCCCUGGCCUGGGCCCAGGACAGAGGGGGACCGUGCCUCUGAGAGUUCUGCCCUCCUGGCCUUGCUGGAGGGGGGCUCAAGCCCUGGACAUCCGGCCCUGGGACCCAGGCUCCCAGGACUAGACCUGGGGUGGGAGGCUCCCGGGUCCCAGUCACAGCCCGAGUGAGGGGGCCCGGCAUGUAGGGGUCCCCUCUCCGGGUCACGAAUGGACUAUGUUGCUGCUGAGGUGGGCAGGCCUGGACAGCUUCUCGAGGAGUGGGCAUUUGCAGGGGCUCCUCUUCCUGCUCACAGCAGAAGGAAGAGGUGGCCAGAAGCCGCCCCGACCCCGCUGGCCCUCGUCUCCCUCAUGUGUUCGGUUGCACCCGUGGGGAGGACUGCUGCUCCCUGCUACUGACUCGGGGUCUCGGGACUGGGGAGGUGCCUCGGAGCAACCCAUUUAUUUCAGCAGCGUCAUUCCCAAAGGGAAAGGGCAUAAGCAUCGAUUAUUUAUUCAGCGUGAGAGGGAGGCAGUGGUGGCAGGAAGGCUGGUGGCUGCUGGCAGGGAGGGGCUGGGCACAAGGGCAGCAAAGAUGGGGGCCGUCAGGUCAGGAGCGGGGGCCCAGGAGGGUGGAAGUCACCCUCUGCCUUCUUCUGAACAGGGACCUAUGGACCAAGGGACAGGCCUGGCCGCGAGAGGACAGGAUGUCGGAAUCCUCAACCUGCUUUGGGGAUAUGGGGAGCUUCAGACCACACCCCAUCCUGUAGCCUGCUCUGAGGGUGACCUAGACACUCGACGCUGCCAACAGCACCCGCCCCGUCUCCUCUGGGGCACAGCCUGGGUUUGA